UCGAGUGGUCAGGACGAUUAUUGGGCCUAAAGCAUCCGUAGCUGGUCUUGCAAGUCUCCGGUUAAAUCCACCUGCUCAACAGAUGGGCCGCUGGAGAUACUACAAGACUAGGGAGUGGGAGAGGCAGACGGUAUUCGAGGGGUAGGGGUAAAAUCCUCUGAUCCUUUGAAGACCACCAGUGGCGAAGGCGGUCUGCCAGAACACGUUCGACAGUGAGGGAUGAAAGCUGGGGGAGCAAACCGGAUUAGAUACCCGGGUAGUCCCAGCUGUAAACGAUGCAGACUCGGUGAAGCGUUGGUUUAUGGCCAAUGCUGUGCCGCAGGGAA
rnacentral:rRNA from 1 species